AAAAGGUGGCUAUGCUACCGCUUUUGGAUGGGCCCGCGGCGCAUUAGCUAGUUGGUGGGGUAAAGGCUUACCAAGGCAAUGAUGCGUAGCCGAACUGAGAGGUUGAUCGGCCACAUUGGGACUGAGACACGGCCCAAACUCCUACGGGAGGCAGCAGUAGGGAAUCUUCCACAAUGGGCGAAAGCCUGAUGGAGCAACGCCGCGUGGGUGAAGAAGGUCUUCGGAUCGUAAAACCCUGUUGUUAGAGAAGAAAGUGCGUGAGAGUAACUGUUCACGUUUCGACGGUAUCUAACCAGAAAGCCACGGCUAACUACGUGCCAGCAGCCGCGGUAAUACGUAGGUGGCAAGCGUUAUCCGGAUUUAUUGGGCGUAAAGGGAACGCAGGCGGUCUUUUAAGUCUGAUGUGAAAGCCUUCGGCUUAACCGGAGUAGUGCAUUGGAAACUGGGAGACUUGAGUGCAGAAGAGGAGAGUGGAACUCCAUGUGUAGCGGUGAAAUGCGUAGAUAUAUGGAAGAACACCAGUGGCGAAAGCGGCUCUCUGGUCUGUAACUGACGCUGAAGUUCGAAAGCGUGGGUAGCAAACAGGAUUAGAUACCCUGGUAGUCCACGCCGUAAACGAUGAAUGCUAAGUGUUGGAGGGUUUCCGCCCUUCA
rnacentral:rRNA from 1 species